CCACUUGACGAUGAUGAGCUCAUCUUCUACAUCGUGGCUGGCCUCGACAUGGAGUACCAGCCGCUCAUCUUCGACCUCGACGCAAGCGUCGAACCUGUCACCCUUGACGAACUGUUUUCUCAAAUGAAUAACUUCGAUC
rfam:Hordeum vulgare subsp. vulgare, WGS project CAJW01000000 data, contig: morex_contig_1578545